CUAAAUCAUUUACAUUGCAAAACUAUUCAAGGAUUUAAUAAAGUAGGUGGAUAAAAUUUCUACCUCAUCCUUCUGACCAGCCAAAGCCUUGGCCAGUGCGUUCACUUCAACGAUCUUCUGGGCAGCAUACGCCAACCAUGACUAGAUUUCGUCGUCAAGCUUGGUCUCGUUUACAAGAUCGACGGCGGUGUGGAGAAGAGAGCAGGAGGUUGAGACUACAAGCUUGUCUGAAUCAAUGCAGAAAGAUAUAACAGGUCAACGGUUGAAAUUUUUGUUUCUCAGUAAUCCCUUAGUAUAUUGUCGGUGACUCGGUAAAAGGAAGAUGAUUAUGGAAGCACUUAUAUUAUAUACCUUUUCCAACAACACCCUCAAGUGCCUCCAAGGUGCUGAGGGACGCAGCAAAGUCGUUGGCCCAGAUGUUCCUUCCAUCAACAACACCAGCGAAGAGGUACUUUCCCUCGGGGAAACCAGCCUUGACCAAAUCAAGGGUCUUGGUGCCACGAACCAAGUCAAAUCCAAAGGCAGUCACACCCUUCAACGAAGUCAGGGUCUUGUAUGCUUCAGCAGGGAUAUCAGCGAAGUAAGUCUCAACAAGAACAUUCAAACCAGAAAGAGUUGAUUCAAGUUCAGCAUAGGCUCCAGUGAAGGCCUGGAGUUUGUGGCCCUCAAGAUCCAUAACGAGAACAGGCUCGUCGAGCUGAAUCCAGGUGGCACCAGCAGCCUUAAGCUCGGUGAUCACUUCCCUGUAGACAAAUCAAAGUAAUAAUGUCAGUGUUGGAUUACCAAUAACAUCAAGGACAUGGAUUGAAAAGUAAAAGAAAGAAUAAAGUGGUUGCAUACUUGUAGACAGGGAGAAUUUUGGGGAGAAGAGAGAGAAGGUCAAAUGACUUCUCCACACCCUUGGCAGCCUUAGAAAGCAACAAGUAAGAGACUGGGCCAACAAGUACAGGGACGGUGUCAACACCAAGCUGCAUAAACAUCAAGCUUAUCGGAUCAGAACUUUAGAUAGAAACUACUUUUGGUGCACAAAAGACAACCAGCGUCAAACUAAUCUUUAACAACUAUUCUAUCAACCGGUUGUAUUUUGUGAGUAAGCAAGCGAGUAUAUUCUUAACGUAUCAACAUCUUCUGUGAAAACCAUUCAAUAUAUCUAAAUUCAAACACUGAAUCCACGAACCCAAGUCUAUGAUCUCCAAUAAAUAGUUAUUUAUUAGUAAAUGGAUGAUAAUAAUAAAGAAAGAUACUUACAGCCUUGGCCUCCUUGUACUCAUUCACAGCCUUGUGAGAUGCGUAAGAGAACUUAACGUCAGGGCCCAACUCAGGAACAAUGUAAUGGCUGCACCAAUUAAACAUCAUUACAUUUUUCCACAACUAAGAAAAACAAACAACGUCACUGCAAGACUGCAAGAUCAGAGUUGGAGACUCACUAGUUGGUGUCAAACCACUUGGUCAUCUCCAUGGCGGGAACAGAGGCGUUACCUCUAGCCAUGGAGAAGUAAACAUCCAAACCGAUCUCACCACUGGUGUAACCGUAUCUGGGUGGAACAGCACCGAGCAUGGCGGUGGUGUCGAGAACCUGGUCGUAGUGAGCAAAGGUGUUGCUGGGGAUGUACUUGGUCCCAGCCUCAGACAUCUGCUUCCAGAUGUUAGCCCUGAGAUCAGCGGACACCUUCUGAAGAUCCUCAGCAGUGCUCUUUCCAUCCCAGAAUGAUUCCAAUGCGAACUUGAGCUCUCUCUUAGGGCCCAUACGUGGGUAUCCAACAAUGUGUGACGCCAUUUUGAUUUCUUUUUUUUUACUGCAUCAAACACAAACCAAAUCAAGAUCAGUAUCAAAUAGUAAAAUACAUUCUCUCUUUCAUAACUUUGUUAAUAUAAUAAUAAUAAAUAAGUUUCAUACUCCAAGAAAGCUGCAACUACAGUUCACGUGUUAACAAAUUAAAAUAAAAUAAAAUCGAAAAGUAGAGCUAUAGCAGCUUUUGUCGUAUUAAUGAUUGAAUGAGUCCACUUCAAAGUAGAAUCGAAAACUUUUAGAUCAAAAUCACAUGCAACAUUUGAUGAUGAUUCAAAGCGGAUCUAACACAGACCAAUGAUCAUUUUCGAACGAUGAAUAUAGAUCGCAGAUCAGAUCCAGAUCUACAGAUCGACCGACACCAAAAAAAAAAAACUCAGAUCUGCAAAUGAUGAGCUCUCUCACCGUUUAGAUCUCAGUGAUAAACACGCAAUACGAACAAACGGAUCGGGGAGGAAUGAGCUAAUAUAUUUGAAUUUAAAAAAAUCACACUCGGUAAGUAAUAAACAAUAACGUGGAGACGAAAACGAAAUGAGAAGGGGAAGGGAGCUAAAUAAGGGAGACGUGGGGAAGCCAUAAAAUCUCGGAGACGUACCUCACGGAGGAAGAAUCGGAGAAAGAGGUUUGGCUACGAUGAAGAGAGAGCGAGGAAGGAGAGUGGCUCUGUGAGUUUAUUUAUAGAUACAAUCGUUGGGCUCUGUGUGAUGUGUAGAUCUGGUGGUGGAUAUUUUAAGCAAUAAUCAUAUAUUUCAACAUUUUAUUUUAUUUAGUUUUUCUCUCAUUUUCUUUCUUUCUAAUACGGCUAUUUAUGUGUUCUGAUUUUCUGAGAUCAUUUUCUAAUUUUCUUACCAUAAUUAAGAAAAUUAAUUACUUUUAGAUUGUAAAAGUAAAACUAGACCAAAAAAGGAACAUGUAUGGACGGAACUAUGAGCAAUUUUAUUUGUUCUUCAAUGUAUUUUUAGCUAGGUAUGUAUUUUUAUUUUUUAGCCUUAAGCAUUUAAAAUGUUAACAGUUUAUACAUGGAUACUUGGAUUAUUUUUUAAGAACGAACUUUUAGAUGAUAUCUUAACGAAUUGACAGGAAUAUCGUAAUUACAAAUUUGUAAAAUACCGGUAAUGGUAUUAAAUAUUUUCAUUAGUAAAGCUAAAUCAUUUUUACAGCAGUAAAGUCCAAUCAUUUAAUUAAAACGUAUUUAUAAAAGUAUAUUAAAGCGAUUAAAUAGAGGAUUAAAACGUGAAGGGGAGUUGGUGUCUACGUAUAUGAGGGAUUAGUAGUAGUGGGUCCUACGGAGGUUGGUGGAGAUUCACAUUUCACAGUGAAGUUUCUGUUAAAUACGGCUGCGUUUAGUGUCGGCCCGAAGAGUAUCGACAUCGAGGCCUGUUCCGCAGUGUUUUGAAAACCAAGUUGGAGUGGUUAUUGAACCUGAUUAUUUUUGAUGAAUUUGAUUUUUUGCUUCAAUACUUUUUGGAAUGUUAUUAUUAGAUUCAUACAAGUUAAAUUUUCGCUAGUUAACAUGUAACUAUUUCGAUGAUGGUUCAUUUUCCUCUUUAUACAGUGGUCAGUAAAUACUAGUAGUAUUCAUCUUUUUUUUUUUGGAUCAAACUAGUAGUAUUCAUCUAUCACCCACCAAUAAAAGCUUAGGCAACUGAGAUAAACUGGAUCAAAAUAUUUUGGUGGAUGAAUAUAGUAGUAGGUAAUGAAAGGGAGAUUAUGGAUCCAUGAUGUAUAUGUUAUUGUUUUAAGAUUCAUAAACAAAGUGAUGAGUGCUCUUUUACCAAAAAAAAAAAGAAAAAAAAAAAAAAAGAAGUGAUGAGUGGUCUUCAUCUUGUUGUUUGCUUUGAUAAUUCGGCCACCAAACAUUGAUUCUAUUAACGUCAUCGCUUCCCUUGAUUACAUGGUAAUUAUCCUUCUCGUCUUAUUUUACUGAAUUUUUGGGUGUAUUUUGAAUAUUAGUGAUAUUCACAAGACUCAACAGUCCAUAUCACAUACUGCUAAUAGAUUACGAAUAUAAUAUUUAUGCACAGUGAGAUAAGUAUGUUAUAUCUUAUACCAGUCGUUAAUCCUCAGUUUUAUUACGCAACUCAAAGUCUAACCUAUAGAAUAGCACAUACACUAGUUGAUUAUUAAUUAUAAAGCUCUUUUGCGUGACUUGUAAGAUUAUUCUAAGUUCAACAACUAGUUUGGAACUGUGUAGGUCUAUUUUAAGAGAUGACGUUGUUGCAAACUCAGAAAACAGUCAACAAAGUGCUGCUUUUCCUUACGGACGCCAACAAAAUGCUUAUUAAAGACUGUUUGACACAAUAUGGAUACUAAAUUAUAGGCUAACUAUAUAGUUUGUAUUAGUUUUAUUACUAGCAAUUGUCAAUCGCACGGCAUAAGUUUAACAGCAGUUACAUGUGACUUUACAAGAAGAUUUGCAUAUGCAUCCUUAAAGUUGUUUUGUCGGUGGAUUUAGAUCUACCAUCAUAAUAACAGCAAAAGUCGUACGAGCAUUUAAUGAAAAUUCUCCUUUUCUUUUUUCAUUUUCAUUUUAUUGUUCUGCAACCUAAACAAGUAAUACCAUAAUCAAGCUCAAACGAAAAAAAAAGAAGAAGAAGAUCUGUAAUAUACUUUAUGAAAUUAUUGAACUAAUUCGUAUGCGAAUUGUGAAAAUUAUACGACUUAUGAUAUAUGGUGUACGCAUCCCUUUUUUUUUGCCAUCUUGAGUUUGGUAGAUCGUUUAGUAAACGAAUCACAAGAUCCAAAAACAUCCUUAUUGCUGGCUUAUUAAACUUUGUGAUUAAACUAUGAUAAAGGAAUGCUUUUAGGCAUGUGACAUAUUACAUGAUUACAUAUGCAUUAUGAUUUGAAUUGAAAUAUGAUAAUUUAAAUAAUUUAUAAAUCUUUUGUAAUGUAUACAUGCUAAUUUAAAGAACACAAAGACUAAGAAAUUAUUCAUCUAAUCUCAAUCACAAGGCUCCAUGUUAAAAGUGAGUAAAACAUGAAAAUGAAAGCCAACCACUUUUUAGGUAGAGUCCAUUCUUAUAGAUUACACAAUGCUAACCCUAUAGCUAGAGUUGAAAAGAACAACGAUGUAGAGCAACUCUACCUUUUAGACAAUGUUCAAAGAAGAAUCCAAACAUCAAUAAUUUCUGGAAUAAAAUUUAGGAGACUAACUUCUUAGCCUUGUAUUCUCUGCGAACUCUCCUGAGCUCUACAGUCUGGGGGAAGGAUCCAAUGGUGGUGGUUGGCAGGAUUGGGAGGUUAAGCUUCUUCUGCUGAGCAUCUAACCUAGCGCUAACAUUAGUUGCACGACGGUGGUCUGAGCCCUUCAAAGCAGCAGCCUGAGAUAACAAAUCAGAAACCAUCUCGAUCAAUAAAUGCUAAGGAGAAAUCAGUGACUGUGGAGAUGGCUGAGGUUUGCGCCAAACUUACAGCCUUCUGGACACCCUCGUUGGUGACUCUUGGGGAAGACCUCCUUGAAGCCAAAGCAGCAGCGUUGGCGGAGAAAAGGGCCUGAAAGGGAAUACAAUAUUAGCAUUCUAGUGUUUACUAAAUCAUUUACAUUGCAAAACUAUUCAAGGAUUUAAUAAAGUAGGUGGAUAAAAUUUCUACCUCAUCCUUCUGACCAGCCAAAGCCUUGGCCAGUGCGUUCACUUCAACGAUCUUCUGGGCAGCAAACGCCAACCAUGACUUGAUUUCGUCGUCAAGCUUGGUCUCGUUUACAAGAUCGACAGCGGUGUGGAGAAGAGAGCAGGAGGUUGAGACCACAAGCUUGUCUGAAUCAAUGCAGAAAGAUAACAGAUCAACGUUUGAAAUAUUUGUUUAGUAUAUUUUCGGGUGACUCAGGUAAAAGGCAGGCGAUUCUGGAAGCACUUAUUUACCUUUUCCAACAACACCCUCAAGUGCCUCCAAGGUGCUGAGAGACGCAGCAAAGUCAUUGGCCCAGAUGUUCCUUCCAUCAACAACACCAGCGAAGAGGUACUUUCCCUCGGGGAAACCAGCCUUGACUAAAUCAAGGGUCUUUGUGCCACGAACCAAGUCAAAUCCAAAGGCAGUCACACCCUUCAACGAAGUUAGGGUCUUGUAUGCUUCAGCAGGGAUAUCAGCGAAGUAGGUCUCAACAAGAACAUUCAAACCAGACAGAGUUGAUUCAAGUUCAGCAUAAGCCCCAGUGAGGGCCUGGAGUUUGUGGCCCUCAAGAUCCAUGACAAGGACAGGCUCGUCAAGCUGAAUCCAGGUGGCACCAGCUGCCUUAAGCUCUGUGAUCACUUCCCUGUACACAAAUCAAAGUCAUAAUAUCAGUGACAUGUUAGACGAUCAUUCAUAACUAAAAUAAAAAGGAAGUGAUUUCUUACUUGUAGACAGGGAGAAUUUUGGGGAGAAGAGAAAGAAGGUCAAAAGACUUCUCUACACCCUUGGCAGCCUUAGAAAGCAACAAGUAAGAGACAGGGCCAACAAGUACGGGGACGGUGUCAACACCAAGCUGCAUAACAUAAAGUUUUAUAGGAUCAGAACUUCAGAAUAGCAAUCUAGCAGAUGAAAGAAAGAAACCUACUUUAAGUGUACAAACGACAAUUAGCAGAAGAACAAGAAACUACUUUAGGUGUCAAAACACAACCAGAGUCAAAUUAAUUUAUAUCAGCUAUUCUAUCAAGUAACUGGUGUUUAUGAAUGUGCAAGUGAGUAUAUUCUUAAUUCAUCACUUGUCUAUGUGAUUAUGUGAAACAGCGUUCAGUGAAUCUAAGCUCAAACAGUAAAUCCUGGAACCAAAGCCUAUUAUCUCUAAUAGAUUAGUCCUAAAGCAGACUGUAAAAUUCAUAAGAAAUUGAAAAUAGCGAAGAAUAAUACGUACAGCCUUGGCCUCCUUGUACUCAUUCACAGCCUUGUGCGAUGCGUACGAAAAGUUAACCUCAGGGCCCAACUCAGGGACGAUGUAAUGGCUGCAUCAACAAAACAUCAUUACAUUAGUCCAAUAUUCAAAAAAAAAAGCCCAACUAACAAUGUCGCUGCAAGGGAGACGAGACUCACUAGUUGGUGUCAAACCACUUGGUCAUCUCCAUGGCGGGAACAGAGGCAUUUCCUCUAGCCAUGGAGAAGUAAACAUCCAACCCAAUCUCACCACCGGUGUAACCGUAUCUGGGUGGAACAGCACCGAGCAUGGCGGUGGUGUCAAGAACCUGAUCGUAGUGAGCAAAGGUGUUGCUUGGGAUGUACUUGGUCCCAGCCUCAGACAUCUGCUUCCAGAUACCCGACCUGAUAUCAGCAGACACCUUCUGAAGAUCCUCAGCAGUGCUCUUCUUAUCCCAGAAUGACUCCAACGCGAACUUGAGCUCUCUCUUGGGGCCCAUACGUGGAUAUCCAACAAUGUGCGACGCCAUUUUUGAUUUUCUUUAACUGCAACAAACAAAACAAACAAGAUCAAUAUCUCAUAUUUAAAUAAAAGAUUUAUUAAUAUAUAUAAUAAUAAGGCUAAGUUACUGACUCCAAGAAAGCAGCCAACAACAGUUCACGUGUACGCAAAAAAAAAAAAUAUCGAAAAGUGUAGCAGCUUUUUGUCGUAUUAUAUGAUUGAGAUAAACGAGACGAGUCCACUUCAGAGUGGAAUUUGAAAAGUUUUAGAUCAGAUCACAUGCAACAUUUUAUCACUAGGAGAUGAUCUAAAGCGGAUCUAACACACACGAGCUCAUAACGACGACCAUUUUCAAUAGAUCGCAAAUCAGAUCGAGAACCAGAUCUACGAAUCGAAUAACACUAGAAACUCAGAUCUGUGACUGAUGAAGUCUCUCACCGUUUAGAUAUACACUACGAACAAACAGAUCGCGGAGAAAUAGAACCAAAUAUGAUAUUCAAAUCUAAUCACAGUCGAGAGAGUAGUAAUAACAAUAACAACAACGUGGAGACGAAGAACGAAAUGAAUAACGAAGGGGGAAGCUAGCUAAAUAAGGGAGAACGUAGGGAAGGUAGAGAAACUCGGAGACGUACCUCACGGAGGAAGAAUCGGAGAAGAGAAGAAGAAAGGGUUGGCUACGAAGAAGAGAAGGCGAGGAAGGAGAGUGGGCUUGCGAGUUUAUUUAUAGCAAAAACAAAUAAUGAUAGAUCGUUGGGCUCUCUGCAUUAUUGUCUAGAUCUGGUGGUUGAUAUUUUCGGCAUUUAUCAUUUAUUUUUCAUUUUAUUUUCUUUUUACGGCUAUUUAUUUGCAUUUAUUUUCCUACAAUAUAUUUUCUUACCAAAAGUGUGGAAAAUUAAUAAGUAUGAAUAAAGCUAGUAAAUACGAUUCUAUCAGUACUACAACAUACCUAUCACCUUUUCAUUUUAUUUUCCCACAAUAUGUUUUGAUUUCAGAAAAAAAACAGUCACUAAUUUUCUUUAUUUGUCUCCCUCACCACAUAUUAUUUAUAAUUAAAUCAUAUAUAUACUCGAAUACUAAAUAAAAUAAAUUCAUAUAAAACUUAGUUAAAAAAAUUAUUAGUAAUUUAUGUUCUUCAAUGUAUUUUAGUUGCGUAUGUAUUUUGGCUUGAAAUUUAAAAAUAUGAACAAAGUAAUAUAUGGUUCACUAAAACGGAUCUUUAGAUAAUAUCUUAACUAAUUAACAGAAAUAUCUUAGCUUCAAAUUUGUAUUAGUAGUUUGGAUUAGUAAAGAUCAAUCUAUUUAUUUUUACUGUAGUAAAUCCUAAUCAUCUAGUUAGUCGUAUUAAGAAAUUAAAUAGAGAAUUAAAACGUGAAGGGGAGUUGGUGGUGUGCGUGGAGCGAUUAGUAGGUGGCAUGGGACCCACGGAGGUUGGUGGGGAUUCACAUUUCACAGUGAAGUUUCUGCUAAAUACGACGGCGUUUAGCAUUCAGCACGAAGAGUAUCGACAUUGAGCGCUGCUCGUGCUCGGCAGCGUUUUGGAAACCAUGUGGAGGUUGAAGCUGACUAUUUUUGAUAAAAUAAAAAAUAAAUUCCCAUAAUUUGACUACUAAAAAUACAUUUUAGGUUAGUAAAUACAAUAGUCAUAAUCAUGAUAUUUAUGUUUUUAUAGAACUGGCCGAGAAAAAUAUUAUGGUUGGUGACUAUAGUUGGUGGAGAAGGAUUGUGGCCCCACAAUAUAUAUGUAAUUGUUUAAGAUUCAUAAGCAAAGUGAUGAGUGGUCUUGAUGUUGUUGUUUGCUGAUGAUUUGGCCACCGUAUAUUGAUUCUUAACUUAUAUUAUCUUCAUCGCUUCCCUUAAUUACAUCUUACUUUUUCCUUCUAAUCCUAUUUUGAAUUUUCUUUAUGUUUUUAUGAAGUUAAAUCUUGAAUAUUAAUGAUAAGCAAAAAAAUUUUGACGCUUGCAAAAUAAACUUUGUAUAGACAUCUUAAGAACCUCACUGUUUCUCAAGCUUGCGUUAGGACAUUCGAAGGACUAAAAGUCUAUAUCACAUACUAGUAGUCUAAGAAAUCUAUGCAUAGUGGGAUCGAUAUGGUUUUUCUCAUACCAAUCAUUGAUCCUUAAUUUUAUCAUGUAGUUCAAUGUUUAUAGAAGUCUAACCAUAGUACAUACACUACUUUAUUAAUGUAUAAGCUCUUGUAGAGGGAGUCGUGAGUAUGGUCCAAGUUCAAGAACUAGGUUGGACUUUUUGAGUACCAUUCUCUUGUAUCGGAAACUGUGUAGGUGUGUAUUUCGAGUUUAAAAAAUAAUAAAAUGUAGAAGAUGGUGAUGCUGCUCCAAACCGACAAUUCAGGGCCUGACUGGUUCAACCGCAGCGGUUGCGGUUGCGGGAGUUUGCGGAUGCGGGUGGUUGCGGUUUCUAGCGGUUUUAAGAGAUUCGUACGACUGGUUAUGCGGUUAGAAAUUGGUAAACUCCGAAAACACAAGGCAAAGAUCAAUCUCUAGAUGCCCUGGGAUAUCUAUUCGAAAAAGUUUCCAUACUUGGAGAAGAACCAAUCUUUAUUUCCUUUCAAUACACCUUUUUUAGCUUCCAUACUUGGAGAAGAACCAAUCUUUAUUUCCUUUAAAUACCCCUUAGAAAAAAAGAUAUGUUUCAUAAGAGAAAUGAAGGAUACAAAACGAGAAACACAAAACAAAUCCAAAAGAUACAUAUCUCUCAACUCUCUCAGCAAGAGGGGAAACCAUAUGCAUCAAACCUAACUUCAACUAGAUAUUUUUAGAAAGGUAAUUAAACAAAACAAAAACACAACCAUUAUAGAGAAAAAGAACUCAAGUAUCCUUCUUCAAAUCAUUCAUCUCUUUUCAAGCUUUUCUUCACUUGGCACUGGCGAGCUGGGAGCGGAUGAGUUUAGCCGCAUCAACCAUGUUCUUCAGGGCAGGCUUGACCUCUGUGUACUUACGGGUCUUGAGACCACAGUCAGGGUUAACCCAAAGGAUGUUCUGCUCAAGAACAGCAAGCAUCUUGUUCACUCUCUCUGCGAUUUCCUCAGUUGAUGGUAUUCUUGGAGAGUGGAUGUCGUAGACACCUGGACCAAUUCCAGCACCGUACUUCACUCCUUCACGGAACACAGAGAGAAGCUUCUCAUCAGAUCGGGAGUUCUCGAUGGUGAUGACAUCAGCAUCCAUGUCGAUGAUGGAGUGUAUGAUGUCAUUGAAGUGAGAGUAGCACAUGUGAGUGUGGAUCUGCAUAAUAACACCACCAUAAGAAAACGGAAAAAACACUUCACUCUAGUAUAUACGAGCGAUAUGUGUUUGAAGGAAGCAAACCUGGGUGGUGUCUUGGACUCCACAGUUGGUGAUUCUGAAGGAGUGAACAGCCCAGUCCAAGUAGAAAGCAUGCUCGGAUUUCCUGAGUGGUAAUCCUUCUCUGAGUGCAGCCUCAUCGAUCUGAAUGACAUUAAUACCACCUUUCUCAAGAUCCUCGACUUCGUCCUUGAUGGCCAGAGCGAUCUGGUAACAGGUCUCGUGCCUACAAAGUUUUUCAGAUAUAUACGUUUUAGUCAUUUUGUUGUAAGCUGUGUUUGUUUCAGACUUGAGAGUUUUUAUUUUGUGUACCUGGGCUGGUCAUUUCUGACAAAGGACCAGUUAAGAAUGGUGACAGGGCCGGUAAGCAUUCCCUUCAUUGGGCGAGAGGUCAUGCUCUGAGCCAUUGCGGACCAGAAGACGGUCAUUGCCUUGGGACGGCUCACAUCACCGUAGAUAACUGGUGGCUUCACACAACGAGAUCCAUAAGAUUGGACCCAUCCAUUUGCGGUGAAGGCAAAACCAGACAACUGCUCCCCGAAGUACUCAACCAUGUCGUUUCUCUACAAAAUUGUUGAAACGUGUCUCGUCAGAAACAUUAAAACGGACUACCAUCAAUAACUUUGAAUUGUCAGUACUCUACUUCGAGGGUUCAAGCAAUAACAUAUAACAUUAAAAAGAAAACACUCACCUCUGGCUCUCCGUGAACGAGAACAUCAAUGUCAAGUUCCUCUUGGAGGUCAACAACUUUCUUGAUCUCUUCCUUCAUGGCCUUAACAUAGUCCUCCUCGGAAACCCUAUCAAAGAGAUUCACCGUUAGUAUCAUACCGUUUAAGGAGAUACCAGGAAUAAAAUUUAGGAGACUAACUUCUUAGCCUUGUAUUCUCUGCGAACUCUCCUGAGCUCUACAGUCUGGGGGAAGGACCCAAUGGUGGUGGUUGGCAGGAUUGGGAGGUUAAGCUUCUUCUGCUGAGCAUCUAACCUAGCGCUAACAUUAGUUGCACGACGGUGGUCUGAGCCCUUCAAAGCAGCAGCCUGAGAUAACAAAUCAGAAACCAUCUCGAUCAAUAAAUGCUAAGGAGAAAUCAGUGACUGUGGAGAUGGCUGAGGUUUGCGCCAAACUUACAGCCUUCUGGACACCCUCGUUGGUGACUCUUGGGGAAGACCUCCUUGAAGCCAAAGCAGCAGCGUUGGCGGAGAAAAGGGCCUGAAAGGGAAUACAAUAUUAGCAUUCUAGUGUUUACUAAAUCAUUUACAUUGCAAAACUAUUCAAGGAUUUAAUAAAGUAGGUGGAUAAAAUUUCUACCUCAUCCUUCUGACCAGCCAAAGCCUUGGCCAGUGCGUUCACUUCAACGAUCUUCUGGGCAGCAAACGCCAACCAUGACUUGAUUUCGUCGUCAAGCUUGGUCUCGUUUACAAGAUCGACGGCGGUGUGGAGAAGAGAGCAGGAGGUUGAGACUACAAGCUUGUCUGAAUCAAUGCAGAAAGAUAUAACAGGUCAACGGUUGAAAUUUUUGUUUCUCAGUAAUCCCUUAGUAUAUUGUCGGUGACUCGGUAAAAGGAAGAUGAUUAUGGAAGCACUUAUAUUAUAUACCUUUUCCAACAACACCCUCAAGUGCCUCCAAGGUGCUGAGGGACGCAGCAAAGUCGUUGGCCCAGAUGUUCCUUCCAUCAACAACACCAGCGAAGAGGUACUUUCCCUCGGGGAAACCAGCCUUGACCAAAUCAAGGGUCUUGGUGCCACGAACCAAGUCAAAUCCAAAGGCAGUCACACCCUUCAACGAAGUCAGGGUCUUGUAUGCUUCAGCAGGGAUAUCAGCGAAGUAAGUCUCAACAAGAACAUUCAAACCAGAAAGAGUUGAUUCAAGUUCAGCAUAGGCUCCAGUGAAGGCCUGGAGUUUGUGGCCCUCAAGAUCCAUAACGAGAACAGGCUCGUCGAGCUGAAUCCAGGUGGCACCAGCAGCCUUAAGCUCGGUGAUCACUUCCCUGUAGACAAAUCAAAGUAAUAAUGUCAGUGUUGGAUUACCAAUAACAUCAAGGACAUGGAUUGAAAAGUAAAAGAAAGAAUAAAGUGGUUGCAUACUUGUAGACAGGGAGAAUUUUGGGGAGAAGAGAGAGAAGGUCAAAUGACUUCUCCACACCCUUGGCAGCCUUAGAAAGCAACAAGUAAGAGACUGGGCCAACAAGUAC
rnacentral:lncRNA from 1 species